AGAUUUUCUCGACCUUUUGGCUCAGAUCAAGUGUAGUAUCUGUUAUUAUCAGUUUUCAUUGUCUUUUAGUUGUGAAUCCUAAGUAAAACAUCACUUGUGGAAACUGGUGCUGUGGUGUAACUGAUAAAGCCUCAGUCUGCAAUGCUGGCAUCCCAU
ensembl:snRNA U2 U2 spliceosomal RNA